rnacentral:rRNA from 1 species
UACGUAGGGGGCAAGCGUUGUCCGGAAUCAUUGGGCGUAAAGCGCGUGUAGGCGGCUUGGUAAGUCCGUUCUGAAAGCCCGGGGCUCAACCCCGGGAGGCGGAUGGAUACUGCUGAGCUCGAGUCCGGAAGAGGCGAGUGGAAUUCCUGGUGUAGCGGUGAAAUGCGCAGAUAUCAGGAGGAACACCGGUGGCGAAGGCGGGUCUCUGGGCCGUAACUGACGCUGAGGAGCGAAAGCAUGGGGAGCGAACAGG